GUUUAAAUAGUUUAAAAAAACAUUACAUUUUCAGUGUAAAAAUGGGGCAACUCCUUUAAAUA
rnacentral:tRNA from 1 species